UCCAAUCGAACCCGGAGAUAGCUGGUUCUCCCCGAAAUAGCUUUAGGGCUAGCGUUAUUUUAGAUUACCGGAGGUAAAGCACUGAAUGGUCUAGGGGCCGCGAGGUUACCAAAGCCUAUCAAACUCUGAAUGCCGGAUAAUUGAUGAAUAGCAGUCAGACUGUGUGAGAUAAGUCUCAUAGUCAAAAGGGAAACAGCCCAGAUCUACAGCUAAGGUCCCAAAUGAACACUAAGUGGAAAAUGAUGUGAAACUGCGAAGACAACCAGGAUGUUGGCUUAGAAGCAGCCACUCAUUCAAAGAGUGCGUAAUAGCUCACUGGUCGAGUGGUUUUGCGCAGAAAAUGUAACGGGGCUAAGUGUUCAACCGAAGCUUAGGCAUUGCAGUAAUGCAUUGGGUAGGGGAGCGUCGUAUGCGGGGCGAAGUCAGAGCGGAAGCACUGGUGGACUGCAUACGAGUGAGAAUGCCGGAAUAAGUAGCGAGAAUUAUGUGAGAAUCAUAAUGGCCGAAAAUCUAAGGUUUCUUGGGGAAGGUUCGUCCGCCCAAGGUUAGUCGGGAGCUAAGCUCAGGCCGAAAGGCGUAGGCGAUGCACAUACGGUAGAAAUUCCGUAACCACCGAACAUUUAAGCUAGAGGGACGCUUUCAUUAAGUCUAUCCCGGGCGAUGGUUGCCCCGGGCGUAAGGGACCGAAAUUUAGUAGGGAAGUAGACGGCGUGAGAGACGAGAAAAGCUCUAGUGUAUACUAAGGUGCCCGUACCGCAAACCGACACAGGUAGAUGGGAUGAGUAUUCUAAGGCCAACGGGAGAAGGGUUGUUAAGGAACUCGGCAAAUUGGCCCCGUAACUUCGGGAUAAGGGGCGCCUGCGAGAGCAGGCCGCAGUGAAAAGGCCCAAGCGACUGUUUAGCAAAAACACAGCUCUCUGCUAAAUCGAAAGAUGACGUAUAGGGGGUGACGCCUGCCCGGUGCUGGAAGGUUAAGGGGAGUGCUUAGCAGCAAUGCGAAGGUGCGAACUUAAGCCCCAGUAAACGGCGGCCGUAACUAUAACGGUCCUAAGGUAGCGAAAUUCCUUGUCAGGUAAGUUCUGACCCGCACGAAUGGCGUAACGAUUUGGGCACUGUCUCAACAGCCCGCCCGGCGAAAUUGUAGUACCGGUGAAGAUGCCGGUUUCCCGCAACUAGACGGAAAGACCCCAUGGAGCUUCACUGUAGCUUGAUAUUGGAUCUCGGUAUUCCAUGUACAGGAUAGGUGGGAGACUUGGAAGUAAGCGCGCCAGCGUUUAUGGAGUCAACCUUGGGAUACCACUCUUGGGAUAUUGGGAUUCUAACCUGCGACCAUGAAUCUGGUCGGGGGACACUGUCAGGUGGGCAGUUUGACUGGGGCGGUCGCCUCCAAAAGAGUAACGGAGGCGCUCAAAGGUUCGUUCAGCACGGAUGGAAAUCGUGCACUGAGUGUAAACGCAUAAACGAGCCUAACUGCGAGAAUGACGGUUCGAGCAGUAACGAAAGUUGGAGUUAGUGAUCCGGCGGUAUGUGAAUGGAAAUGCCGUCGCUCAACGGAUAAAAGCUACCCUGGGGAUAACAGGCUGAUCUCCCCCAAGAGUCCACAUCGACGGGGAGGUUUGGCACCUCGAUGUCGGCUCAUCGCAUCCUGGGGCUGUAGUCGGUCCCAAGGGUUGGGCUGUUCGCCCAUUAAAGCGGUACGCGAGCUGGGUUCAGAACGU
rnacentral:rRNA from 1 species